ensembl:lncRNA
AAAACUAUGGAUAAGGGUCUUCGGGGUGGGCACCAGCGUGGCACUCCCAUUUUACCUCUACGCUUGAGCGGUGGUGCAUGUUGUACUCGCAGUCAGUCUUUCCACAAGGUAACACUGUCACAAAUUGCACUCUUUAAUGAGUAAAACACAUACAUUAAGUAUGAAAGGGUUCUCUCCGUAUUUCAUUGGCAAAGCCAGAGUAGGACGGGGCCCUCCUGCUGAUGGUGGCGCUGCCCUACGCUUGGUCUGAGCCCCAGAGCAUUGCAGAGAACUGUUCAGUACCUCCGUGCUGCAGCCAGGAACUGCUGAAGCUUUGCUGUACAAAAAGAGGAAAAAAAGGAAAACAUCAUCUUCACAAUACAUGCUGUGUUGAACUGGCUGCAAUGCAACAUCCAGACCAGAUGCAAUGCAAUGUUUGUCUGAGCACUGGGGGCAGUUGGUUUGCUAGAAGGAGGCCCUGAAGCUUUCCUGAUGUGAGAGGGCUCUCACAGCUGUGCAUGCCGAGCAACAAGACACUGAAGUCCUUCACACCCCUAGCUGCCAUCUGAAGCUUCCAGCCCACUCUUCAUUUUGUCUAAAGACUUCCCUUCGCAGCACUGUGAUCAUAGGUGUGUGAAUAGUUGUGUACCAUUUGGAGCAAGUCAUCAAGAUGGUUCCUCAGGUGGAGGUAAACCACGCGAUAGUUUUCCUCGGUGCUGGCAUUAACACGAGUAGCUCCUGCAGGUCAAAGCAGUGGUAAAGAUCUCUGUCAGCUGCAUAAAAGCAAGCACAUAAUAGGUAGUGCGGCAGUAAUCUAACACAUUGAAAAAUGCUUUCCCUUUCUGAAGGAACUGGCAGACCUAAAGUAUAUUAGGUUUCAUUAAGAAGGCCCUUUGUCUCCUUACCGUGUUAAAUCUGAAAUUUCCAAGAAGUUCACUUCUCGCUGUGCUUGCUUCCUAGUAGCUCUCGGUGGUUGGCAUGAGUAAGUGGCCCACCGCAGUUAAACAAAGCACCCCAGACACUCACUUAUCUUU